rnacentral:rRNA from 1 species
AGUGAACGCUGGCGGUAGGCCUAACACAUGCAAGUCGAACGGCAGCACAGUAAGAGCUUGCUCUUACGGGUGGCGAGUGGCGGACGGGUGAGGAAUACAUCGGAAUCUACUUUUUCGUGGGGGAUAACGUAGGGAAACUUACGCUAAUACCGCAUACGACCUACGGGUGAAAGCAGGGGAUCUUCGGACCUUGCGCGAUUGAAUGAGCCGAUGUCGGAUUAGCUAGUUGGCGGGGUAAAGGCCCACCAAGGCGACGAUCCGUAGCUGGUCUGAGAGGAUGAUCAGCCACACUGGAACUGAGACACGGUCCAGACUCCUACGGGAGGCAGCAGUGGGGAAUAUUGGACAAUGGGCGCAAGCCUGACCCAGCCAUACCGCGUGGGUGAAGAAGGCCUUCGGGUUGUAAAGCCCUUUUGUUGGGAAAGAAAAGCAGCAGGUUAAUACCCCGCUGUUCUGACGGUACCCAAAGAAUAAACACCGGCUAACUUCGU